rnacentral:lncRNA from 1 species
GUGUGAUGCUUUUCCUGUCUUCCAGCAGGCUAUGGACCCCAAAGGGAGCUGUGCUUUCCAGGAGGCUCCUGGGGUUGGUGCCUACACCACUCAGAGCCAGGACUUUGCUUCAAAUCUCCCUUUUGGAUAAAAAGAGGGCUGCUCCAAGGCCAUGGAUCGAGGACUGAGCAAGUCCAGUUCACAGUUUUGAAUGCUCCUGCUCAGGAUAUGCUCAAGGAACACACCAGUUGCAGAAAACACUCCAGAAUAGCACCAAAAAGAGGAUUGGGCAAUUUCAAGUUUUUGAUGAACCAUCAUUCCAGCUUCCAAAUCUCCUGUGAGGACAGGGAUCUCUGAGCUGCCACCUCCUGAUCCAGUUCACCCUCUGCCUGCUGGAUGCACACUGCUGAACUGGUAGGAUUUGUUUGGGAUUUUGCUUCUCACCUGUCCUCACCCUUUGCUGGUUUGUACUGGGCU